UACGGGGGGGGCAAGCGUUGUUCGGAAUUACUGGGCGUAAAGGCUCGUAGGCGGCCAACUAAGUCGGAUGUGAAAUCCCCAGGCUCAACCUGGGAACUGCAUCCGAUACUGGAUGGCUUGAAUUCGGGAGAGGGAUGCAGAAUUCCAGGUGUAGCGGUGAAAUGCGUAGAUAUCUGGAGGAAUACCGGUGGCGAAGGCGGCAUCCUGGACCGACAUUGACGCUGAGGAGCGAAAGCCAGGGGAGCAAACGGG
rnacentral:rRNA from 1 species